AGAAGAAAGAGUGUAGAUGGCACGAAGGAGAGAUGAAGAUAUAGCACGCACCUUUUCAGGUUUUUCAGUGCACUUUGCUUUUCUUAUUUUUUCCCAACUACUUCUCUUU
rnacentral:ribozyme from 14 species